rnacentral:lncRNA from 1 species
GGGGCUCCGACUGUCGCCUCGCGGUGCUCCGGUGUGAGUCCUUGUGCUUCUUGCUCCCCCUGAGGCUGCCGAACCGCUUCAUCAGGAGCUGCGGCCACAGGAGCGGGACAGGCGAACAUGCCAGGACGCGCAGGACCCGCCUCAGCUGCAGGGCUCCGCGGGGUCAGGAGGCUCCGGCUGCUUCUUGCUGGAGAAGCCACAGGUCCCCGCGCUGGAAAUCACUGACUCGACUUCAGCUCCUGGCUCCCUGAGAUGCAAGAAGCAAGAGCACCCCAAAGGGCCGCACCUGCCGCUGGCCUACGCCAGUGAUUACAGUGAUUACAAUGAGCCAUGACGGAAACUCCAAUCAACUAUACUUUAAUUAAAAAAAAUUAAAAACCAACAAAACAAAGAUUAACCGUUAAACUCUACUAAUGUAUAAACAGCUACAUAUGGUCCAGUGACCAAGGGACCAGAAUGGACAAGUGUCAUCAGCACAAAUGGACAGAGAAGCAUUGGCAGGACAGUGUGACUUGGCCUUGAGGCUGGAGGGCAGGUCAGGCCAACACGGGGCCCUCAGAGGAACCUCGUUUUCCAAAACAAGUCACAAAACCCACCUCCACUCGGGUCUUCCAAUACCCUAGCGGAUUAUAUCUGCAUUAAAUAUAGGAGCCCAAACAGACUAUGAUGAAGCUUUGGAAACGACUAAGGAGGUAGGCUGCAGAAUUUCACAGUUAGAUUUCAUUUUUUUAAAAAAAUCAAUUCAGUUCUUAACAGAGAUAGAAAUGCUCCCCUGAU